UACGGGAGGCAGCAGUGGGGAAUAUUGGACAAUGGGCGGAAGCCUGAUCCAGCAACGCCGCGUGAGGGAUGACGGCCUUCGGGUUGUAAACCUCUUUCAGCACAGACGAAGCGCAAGUGACGGUAUGUGCAGAAGAAGGACCGGCCAACUACGUGCCAGCAGCCGCGGUAAUACGUAGGGUCCGAGCGUUGUCCGGAAUUAUUGGGCGUAAAGGGCUCGUAGGCGGUUUGUCGCGUCGGGAGUGAAAACACCGGGCUUAACUCGGUGCUUGCUUUCGAUACGGGCAGACUAGAGGCAUUCAGGGGAGAACGGAAUUCCUGGUGUAGCGGUGAAAUGCGCAGAUAUCAGGAGGAACACCGGUGGCGAAGGCGGUUCUCUGGGAAUGUCCUGACGCUGAGGAGCGAAAGUGUGGGGAGCGAACAGGAUUAGAUACCCUGGUAGUCCACACCGUAAACGUUGGGCGCUAGGUGUGGGAUCCAUUCCACGGGUUCCGUGCCGCAGCUAACGCAUUAAGCGCCCCGCCUGGGGAGUACGGCCGCAAGGCUAAAACUCAAAGGAAUUGACGGGGGCCC
rnacentral:rRNA from 1 species